rnacentral:tRNA from 1 species
GGCCUUGAGGUGUUCCACAUAAGAUUGCAAAUCUUAAGAAGCAGGCUAAGACCCUGUCGAGGCUU